rnacentral:rRNA from 1 species
CGCGAAUCGCCCUUCGGGGUGCCCCGGCGCGAAAACUUUGCACUGCGGGAAACCGUGACAAGGGAACUCUGAGUGCCCGUUAAAUCGGGCUGUCCAUCGGUUUAAAUAACCGGUGAAGAAAGGGCCGGGCAAGACCGGUGCCAGCCGCCGCGGUAAUACCGGCGGCUCGAGUGGUGGCCACUAUUACUGGGCUUAAAGCGUUCGUAGCUGGUUUGUUAAGUCUCUGGGGAAAUCUUCCGGCUUAACCGGAAGGCGUCUCAGGGAUACUGGCAGACUAGGGACCGGGAGAGGUGAGAGGUACUCCAGGGGUAGGAGUGAAAUCCUGUAAUCCUUGGGGGACCACCUGUGGCGAAGGCGUCUCACCAGAACGGCUCCGACAGUGAGGGACGAAAGCUGGGGGAGCAAACCGGAUUAGAUACCCGGGUAGUCCCAGCUGUAAACGAUGCGCGUUAGGUGUAUCGGUGACCACGAGUCACCGAGGUGCCGAAGAGAAAUCGUGAAACGUGCCGCCUGGGAAGUACGGUCGCAAGGCUGAAACUUAAAGGAAUUGGCGGGGGAGCAC